UAGGACGAACGCUGGCGGCGUGCCUAACACAUGCAAGUCGAGCGGGACAUUUAACAGAACGGAAGUUUCGGACGGAAGGGAAGAUAAGUGUUCUAGCGGCGGACGGGUGAGUAACGCGUGAGCAACCUGUCCUUCACAGGGGGAUAACACAGCGAAAGUUGUACUAAUACCGCAUAAGACCACGGUACCGCAUGGUGCAGGGGUCAAAGGAGAAAUCCGGUGAAGGGUGGGCUCGCGUCCGAUUAGAUAGUUGGUGAGGUAACGGCCCACCAAGUCAACGAUCGGUAGCCGACCUGAGAGGGUGAUCGGCCACAUUGGGACUGAGACACGGCCCAAACUCCUACGGGAGGCAGCAGUGGGGAAUAUUGGGCAAUGGGGGGAAACCCUGACCCAGCAACGCCGCGUGAGGGAAGAAGGUUUUCGGAUCGUAAACCUCUGUCCUAGGUGAAGAGGAAGAGACGGUAGCCUAGGAGGAAGCCCCGGCUAACUACGUGCCAGCAGCGGC
rnacentral:rRNA from 1 species